CCCUCGUAUUAGCCCAAUCACUUUUAUCUCUCCAUAUUUGUGUCUAAACUCUUUUUAAAUCUCCACUCUUCUCUUCAUUUCACUCACCAACUUCACUCUGCUCUCUGCACUCUUCAUUUCCUGGGCCUUCAACAUGGUGGCCGAUGCCAAGGGUAAAUUGGACAUUUCCUUCGCUGGUACUUGCACCAAUAGCGCUUUUGCCGCUUGUUUCGCCGAGGUGUUUGUCAACUCAAACUCUUGUUCAUUAUUUUAUGUAUCACCUGAUCAUGUGUUUCUUUGAGACUUUUCGAUUGGAUCGGGUUUGUCAAGAUCUUUGUUUUAAUAUUUUACUCGAAAGUGGUCGUAAAUAGUCAAAGUUUGGAUUUUUAAUCUUAAGUUGUUUAUGGGUAUUUUAGUUUUCGUAAUCAAAGAUGAAAUUUUGAACGCAGUGGCUUUUGUUUGUAAAGUCAAAUCUUCAAAUAUGUAUGUUUUUCUGUAACAAUCAACUUGUAAUCUUGAUUUUAACGUUGAAGUUUCUCAUAGUUGGCGAAUCAUAUUGAUAUGUUCGGGAAAAUAUUUUAUGGAGAUGGUGAUCGAUUUGGGCCUGGAGAAACUCUGUGCUGUUUGUUUAACUGUUUUGCUUUUUAAAUUCCAUUGAUAUGCACUAUCAUCUUAAUUGUUGAAUUCUAGUAUAUGUAGGCUUUGAAACACAUUUUACUUAUCCAAUUUUAUGUGAUUAUGUGUAGAUUUGCACUAUUCCUUUGGACACUGCUAAAGUUAGGCUUCAGCUGCAAAAGAAAGGUGUAGCUGGAGAUGGAUUGGCCUUACCAAAAUACAGGGGUUUGUUGGGAACAGUUGGUACUAUUGCUCGGGAAGAAGGUCUAGCGGCACUCUGAAAAGGAAUUGUACCUGGAUUGCAUCGUCAAUGCUUAUUUGGAGGGUUGAGGAUUGUUAAAAACUUCUAUGUUGGUAGUGACUUUGUUGCAGAUGUUCCUUUAUCUAAGAAAAUACUUGCUGGGCUUACGACUAGGGAGUGGAAUGGUUGAAUGCUUUCGGAAUUAUGUUUUGCUUCUUUCAAGAUUAUGUGAUACAAGUUGACUUUAAUCGUAUAGUUAGAUAUUUUUUCUUACACGUGAAAUGCUUUAAUUUACUUUUGUACCUUUUCAUUUUCUGAUUUCUUAAGACGUGUCAUCUCAUCAAUAAGUGCUCUAGCAAUCACAAUUGCAAAUCCAACUGAUCUUGUCAAAGUAAGACUUCAAGCUAAAGGAAAAUUACCUCCUGGUGUGCCAAGGCGCUAUUCAGGAGCAUUGAAUGCUUACGAUGGUGCGUUUUGUGGGUAAGAGAAUCUUGGGAAAAGCAACAAACUUGAAGAAGAUGGUUGCACAAUUAGGUGUUAUUUGCAUGUGAAGAAUCUGCAUAAGGUGUGGAAUGGUAAUUAGUUGUUGUGUUUGAAGGGAUAUUGAGGGUUUAAACAUUCAAGCAAUAAUUGUGUUUGAAGGGAUAUUGUAAUUAUUUGUUUUGCUUCUGCCAAUUUUUGUUUGGAAGUAUUAUUUUUUUCACAUAUCUAGUGUUCUUGCUAGGGGCAAUCAUCAAGGUGAAUGAACUGAAAUGUUGGAAUUCUGCUUGUUAUCCACUCUUCAACCACAAUGAUCUGGUUUUAUUGAAAAUUUUAUGUCAUGAUUUGGCUUGGAUUGAGUUUGUACUUUUUAUAGCUGUGUAGUUGUGUAGGUGCUGGCGCCUGCAUAUAUUCUACAGCCUUGAAAGUUAUAGCAUUGUCACAAGCCUUGUUAAAAUAAAUGCCAAAGCCUUUCAAUUUAAAUCUUGGGGCGGAAGGUGUCCAAAAAAUGGGCUAAUAUCUCGUGGGAAAAAGUAUUGGGAUCCUUUCAAUCGGGAUGCGUUGAAUGUGGGUUUUAUAAAAUGACUAUAAUGAGAUACAUGAGAGAUAUAGCCGAGAAUGGGUUGGCAUUACUGAAAAACAAUUUCAUGGGGAAAGAAAUAUAUGAAGAUGCAAAGGUCGAUGAAGUCAGAGUAGAAUGAGCGAUGUAUGAAACAAACUUUCUUUAGUUAUAUAUUGUUGUUUCAAUGAUGUCAGAGGCCAAUGAGGGCAAAAACUUUGUAUCAAACUUUUCAUUAUUGUUUAUGCAUAUUGUAAAAUUUAUACAGUUGUUCAAUUUUGUUUACUCAGAGCAACAGUAAUAUAUGUA